UAAGGAAUAUUGGUCAAUGGACGCAAGUCUGAACCAGCCAUGCCGCGUGAAGGAUGAAAGUCCUCUGGAUUGUAAACUUCUUUUAUCUGGGACGAAAACGGGAUUUUUAUCUCAAUUGACGGUACCAGAGGAAUAAGCACCGGCUAACUCCGUGCCAGCAGCCGCGGUAAUACGGAGGGUGCGAGCGUUAUCCGGAUUUACUGGGUUUAAAGGGUGCGUAGGUGGGCUUAUAAGUCAGUGGUGAAAUCUCCGAGCUUAACUUGGAAACUGCCGUUGAUACUAUAGGUCUUGAAUUAUCUGGAGGUAAGCGUAAUAUGUCAUGUAGCGGUUAAAUGCUUAGAUAUGACAUAGAACACCAAUUGCGAAGGCAGCUUACUACAUAUAAAUUGACGCUGAGGCACGAAAGCGUGGGGAUCAAACA
rnacentral:rRNA from 1 species